UGCCAGCCGCCGCGGUAAUACGGAGGGUGCAGGCGUUGUCCGGAUUCAUUGGGUUUAAAGGGUGCGUAGGCGGAUUUGUAAGUCAGUGGUGAAAGCCUGCGGCUUAACCGUAGAAUUGCCAUUGAUACUGCAGAUCUUGAGAUCAAUCGAGGUGAUUGGAAUGCGUAGUGUAGCGGUGAAAUGCAUAGAUAUUACGCAGAACGCCAAUUGCGAAGGCAGAUCACUAGGUUGAAGCUGACGCUGAUGCACGAAAGCGUGGGGAGCGAACAGGAUUAGAUA
rnacentral:rRNA from 1 species